rnacentral:rRNA from 1 species
UACGUAGGGUGCAGGCGUUAAUCGGAAUUACUGGGCGUAAAGCGUGCGCAGGCGGUUUGCUAAGACAGGUGUGAAAUCCCCGGGCUUAACCUGGGACCUGCAUUUGUGACUGCAUUGCUGGAGUGCGGCAGAGGGGGAUGGAAUUCCGCGUGUAGCAGUGAAAUGCGUAGAUAUGCGGAGGAACACCGAUGGCGAAGGCAAUCCCCUGGGCCUGCACUGACGCUCAUGCACGAAAGCGUGGGGAGCAAACAGG